rnacentral:tRNA from 1 species
GUUGUCGUUGCCGAGUGGGUAAGGCGAUGAUUUAGGAAUCUUUUGGGAUUUUCCGGCGCAGGUUCGAUUCCUGCCGACAUCG